rnacentral:rRNA from 1 species
CCUACGGGGGCAGCAGUGGGGAAUAUUGCACAAUGGGGAAAACCUGAUGCAGCGACGCCGCGUGAGUGAAGAAGUAUUUCGGUAUGUAAAGCUCUAUCAGCAGGGAAGAAAAUGACGGUACCUGACCAAGAAGCCCCGGCUAACUAGGUGCCAGCAGCCGCGGUAAUACGUAGGGGGCAAGCGUUAUCCGGAUUUACUGGGUGUAAAGGGAGAGUAGACGGACAGACAAGUCAGAAGUGAAAGCCCAGGGCUCAACCCUGGGACUGCCUUUGAAACAGCCGGGCUGGAGUGCAGGAGAGGUAAGCGGAAUUCCUAGUGUAGCGGUGAAAUGCGUAGAUAUUAGGAGGAACACCAGUGGCGAAGGCGGCUUACUGGACUGUAACUGACGUUGAGGCUCGAAAGCGUGGGGAGCAAACAGGAUUAGAUACCCCUGUAGUC